rnacentral:rRNA from 1 species
UCCGUAGGUGAACCUGCGGAAGGAUCAUUAGUGAAUUUAGAGCGUAACUUCGGUUAGCUCAACCUUCAUUUUCCAACUCUGUGCACUAUUGGCGGACUGGGAGCAAGUAAUUGCUAUUCAGUCUGCGGCUCACUAUUAAACAUUAGUUAAAGUAUGUAUAUAAAAACAAAACAAAAAAAACUUUCAACAACGGAUCUCUUGGCUCUCGCAUCGAUGAAGAACGCAGCGAAAUGUGAUAAGUAAUGUGAAUUGCAGAAUUCAGUGAAUCAUCGAAUCUUUGAACGCACCUUGCGCUCUCUGGUAUUCCGGAGAGCAUGUCUGUUUGAGUGUCAUGAACUCUUCAACCUACCGAUUUCUAGUAAAUCGGAUUAGUGUUUGGAUUUUGAACGCUUGCUGGCCUUUAUUGGCGAAGCUCGUUCGUAAAUGAUUAGCAUCUCAUAUUCGAAAAUCGGAUUGACUCAGUGUAAUAGACUAUUCGCUGAGGACGCUCUUUCGGGAGUGGCCGAGUUUUGUAAAGUAGAAGCUUCUAAUUCUAUUAGUCAACUUUAGAUUAGACCUCAGAUCAGGCAGGAUUACCCGCUGAACUUAAGCAUAUCAAUAAGCGGAGGAAAAG